rnacentral:lncRNA from 1 species
UGGCAAUUAGGUAAUUCUGAUUGGUACAAAAAAAGAGGAAUGUAACUUUUUCUGGAAAGAUGGGUUGGAUGGCUGAGAGUGAGGAGGUUGUGAGCUAUAUGAAGAAAGAAGGGGAAGGUUUGGAAGUCUGUAAGCAGAAUGGGAGAUGGAAUUGAAGCUCCAGGAAGGCAACAGCUGACCUUGUAUUUCCAGAGCUGGGACAGUCGCCUGACACUAGUGGAUCCCAGGAAAUUGAAAGCAUCUGGAAGGAGUGAGUGAAGACGUCUUAGUCUAUCAUUUUGGCUGAUAUAAAAGAAUACAACAGACUGGGUAGCUUAUAAACCACAGAUGUUUAUUUAUAUUAACAGUCGUAAAGGCUGGGAGGUCCAAGGUCAAGAUCCUGGCAGAUUUGGUGUCUGGUGAGAGACUGCUUUCUGGUUCAUAGAUGCUCACUUCUUGCUGUGUCCCCACAUGGUGGAAGGAGCCGGGGAGCUCUCUGAAGUCCUGUUUACCAGGGCACUAAUCCCAUGCAUGAGGGCUCCACCCUCGUGACCUAAUCACCUCCCAGAGGUCCCACCUCCUAUUACCAUUGCAUUGGAGGUGAUUUUUCAACAUAUGAAUUUUGGGGGGGACACGAACAUUCAGUCUAAGGCAGAAGAUAGGAA